CUUAAUUUGACUCAACGCGGGAAAUCUUACCGGGUCCGGACACACUGAGGAUUGACAGACAUUUAUAUACCGUAACAAGUAUAUAUUUAAAGAUGCUAGUUCUUUCAUGAUUAUGUGAUAGGUGGUGCAUGGCCGUUCUUAGUUCGUGGAGUGAUCUGUCUGCUUAAUUGCGUUUCAUAUUAUUAUAUAAUAUACACACACAUCACGUGUGUUAUAUUAUUACUUUGAAAGCAACGAACGUGACCGUAGCCUUUUAUUAUAUACGCUACACGUAUAUUAAUUAAAGGGACCGCUGUAUCUUUCUUUAAACCAGAGUAAGGUUACGGCAAUAACAGGUCUGUGAUGCCC
rnacentral:rRNA from 1 species